UGGAAAUGAUGAAAUAGAGAUAAUUGGAUGUAAGUUGGAAUGAGGUGUGUGUGGUAAAUGGAAUGGGGGUGGUGGGGAGUGUGUGUGUGUGUGCAUGUUAGAAAGGCUUGGAAUGGGGGCACUGAUGUGCAGUGCUGACCUCCGGAGUGCAUCUGAGGUGUGUUGGGAGCUCUGGGCUGUCACCUGCCAACAUCACCGAUGAUUAGAGCCCAAAACAAGCCCACCAAGACAAGCCUAGGCAUCCUAAAUCUCUGACAGGGUCAGUCAUGAACAUGAUCCUGUGAUCUGAUCUGA